AACGAACGCUGGCGGCAUGCCUAACACAUGCAAGUCGAACGGGAUCCUAGCUUGCGUAGGUGAGAGUGGCGGACGGGUGAGUAACACGUGGGAAUCUGCCUUUUGGUUCGGGAUAACCGCGGGAAACUGCGGCUAAUACCGAAUGCCCUCGAGAGAGGAAAGAUUUAUCGACCAGGAAAGAGGAGCCCGCGUCCGAUUAGGUAGUUGGUGGGGUAAAAGGCCUACCAAGCCGACGAUCGGUAGCUGGUCUGAGAGGAUGAUCAGCCACACUGGGACUGAGAUACGGCCCAGACUCCUACGGGAGGCAGCAGUGGGAAUAUUGGACAAUGGGGCAA
rnacentral:rRNA from 1 species